rfam:Japanese encephalitis virus isolate JEV RP9 polyprotein gene, complete cds
AUGGAGUCAGGCCAGCAAAAGCUGCCACCGGAUACUGGGUAGACGGUGCUGCCUGCGUCUCAGUCCCAGGAGGACUGGGU